GGGGAAUAGACGGUAUAGCUCAGUGGUAGAGCAUGUGCUUGACAUGCACAAGGUCCUGGGUUCAAUCCCCAGUGCCUCCA